rnacentral:rRNA from 1 species
ACUCCUACGGGAGGCAGCAGUAGGGAAUCUUCCACAAUGGGCGCAAGCCUGAUGGAGCAACACCGCGUGAGUGAAGAAGGGUUUCGGCUCGUAAAAGCUCUGUUGUUAAAGAAGAACACGUAUGAGAGUAACUGUUCAUACGUUGACGGUAUUUAACCAGAAAGUCACGGCUAACUACGUGCCAGCAGCCGCGGUAAUACGUAGGUGGCAAGCGUUAUCCGGAUUUAUUGGGCGUAAAGAGAGUGCAGGCGGUUUUCUAAGUCUGAUGUGAAAGCCUUCGGCUUAACCGGAGAAGUGCAUCGGAAACUGGAUAACUUGAGUGCAGAAGAGGGUAGUGGAACUCCAUGUGUAGCGGUGGAAUGCGUAGAUAUAUGGAAGAACACCAGUGGCGAAGGCGGCUACCUGGUCUGCAACUGACGCUGAGACUCGAAAGCAU